rnacentral:rRNA from 1 species
GAACUGAAGAGUUUGAUCAUGGCUCAGAUUGAACGCUGGCGGCAGGCCUAACACAUGCAAGUCGAGCGGAUGAAGGGAGCUUGCUCCUGGAUUCAGCGGCGGACGGGUGAGUAAUGCCUAGGAAUCUGCCUGGUAGUGGGGGAUAACGUCCGGAAACGGGCGCUAAUACCGCAUACGUCCUGAGGGAGAAAGUGGGGGAUCUUCGGACCUCACGCUAUCAGAUGAGCCUAGGUCGGAUUAGCUAGUUGGUGGGGUAAAGGCCUACCAAGGCGACGAUCCGUAACUGGUCUGAGAGGAUGAUCAGUCACACUGGAACUGAGACACGGUCCAGACUCCUACGGGAGGCAGCAGUGGGGAAUAUUGGACAAUGGGCGAAAGCCUGAUCCAGCCAUGCCGCGUGUGUGAAGAAGGUCUUCGGAUUGUAAAG